rnacentral:rRNA from 1 species
GGGGAAUUUUGGACAAUGGGGGCAACCCUGAUCCAGCCAUGCCGCGUGAGUGAAGAAGGCCUUCGGGUUGUAAAGCUCUUUCGGACGGAAAGAAAACGGAUGGGUUAAUACCCUGUUCGGAUGACGGUACCGUCAUAAGAAGCACCGGCUAACUACGUGCCAGCAGCCGCGGUAAUACGUAGGGUGCAAGCGUUAAUCGGAAUUACUGGGCGUAAAGCGUGCGCAGGCGGUUUUGUAAGACAGUGGUGAAAUCCCCGGGCUCAACCUGGGAACUGCCAUUGUGACUGCAAGGCUGGAGUGCGGCAGAGGGGGAUGGAAUUCCGCGUGUAGCAGUGAAAUGCGUAGAUAUGCGGAGGAACACCGAUGGCGAAGGCAAUCCCCUGGGCCUGCACUGACGCUCAUGCACGAAAGCGUGGGGAGCAAACA